rnacentral:rRNA from 1 species
CCUACGGGAGGCGCAGUAGGGAAUAUUGGACAAUGGGUGCGAGCCUGAUCCAGCCAUGCCGCGUGCAGGAAGAAGGCCUUCUGGGUUGUAAACUGCUUUUGCCGGGGGAUAAAAGACCCAUGCGUGGGGAAUUGAAGGUACCCGGUGAAUAAGCCACGGCUAACUACGUGCCAGCAGCCGCGGUAAUACGUAGGUGGCGAGCGUUGUCCGGAUUUAUUGGGUUUAAAGGGUGCGUAGGCGGCCCCGUAAGUCAGUGGUGAAAUACGGCAGCUCAACUGUCGAGGUGCCAUUGAUACUGCGGGGCUUGAGUACAGUCGAGGUAGGCGGAAUUGACGGUGUAGCGGUGAAAUGCUUAGAUAUCGUCAAGAACACCGAUAGCGAAGGCAGCUUGCUAGGCUGUAACUGACGCUGAGGCACGAAAGUNCGGGGAUCAAACAGGAUUAGAUACCCUGGUAGUCCGCACAGUAAACGAUGGUCACUCGGUGUUGCGGUACACGGCAGCGCUUAGCGAAGCGUUAAGNGACCACCGUGGGAGGUACGCCGCCGACGGUAGGAACGUACGAAAGGAAGUUAGACGGACGUAGAGACGUGCCGAACGGACGACGACGAGGGAGUAGG